GGGGGGGAACCCUCGCCGCGCUGGAUUAGACCCGAAGUACACAUUGGACUCCUUUAGUCAGUGCUUUGGAGGCCACCAAGCAAACUUUAGGAUAGACGAACGACUCGACGACGCGCGUGCGACGGGAACGACCACGUACACCGCGAUCCGCGAAGUGUGUGUUGUGCAGUGUAGAGUGUUUGGGCUACCAACCCUCUACUAAACCUCAACCUCCACCCCUUGCGUGAAGCAGGGUUCAUGUUCACGAUAGCAGGGUAACAGAACAGAGUUAGCAUGGGAGUGGCGGAGGAUUUCGCUCCCAGCUUCACCCAGAAGCCGCAGCUGAGGCAGGAGGACGACGGCAACAAGCUCGUCUUCGAAUGCCAGCUGCUCGCAUCACCCCAGCCCGAAAUACAAUGGUUCCGUAGCGACACACUUCUUCAGGAAGACACAAGGACCAAUUUCAAAAUCCAGCCCAUCGGUACCAACAAGUACUUGGUGGUGUUGGAACUAGACGAUGUGAUCGAGACAGAUGCAGGCCUGUACAAGGUCAAAGCGAAGAACACCAUGGGGGAAGUUGCAGCGUCGAUCAACCUCAACUUCAGCCCAAUGGACGAGCCAAAAGAAAAACAAAUCGAUGGUCUAGCACCAACUUUUGCGAAGAAACCUGCCAUUCGGCAAGAAGAAGACGGCAAAAAGCUUCUUUUCGAAUGUCGGAUUCAAGCGGAUCCUCGUCCAGUCGUCAGUUGGUUCCACAAUAACAAUUCCGUUAAAGAAAGUCCCCGUCAUAAGUUGAGGAUAGACAAGGAUGGACACUCGUACUUUGCGACCCUUGAAAUAAUAAAUGUCACAGUUGAGGAUGCUGGCAAAUACAAGGUGACUGCAAAGAACGAGCUUGGAGAGAGUAACGCGACGAUCAGUCUCAACUUUGACAGCGGAGAUGAUGCGGCAGGUUUCGCGCCCUCCUUCAUCGAGAAACCCAAAAUCAUACCCAACGAGAGCGGAACGCUCAUUACCAUGAAAUGCAAGUGCAAGGCCAAGCCCAAGCCUGAAGUCACUUGGUUCCGGGGAACCACAGCCGUCCAGGAAUCGUCCAAAAUCACCAUACGAGUCGUCGAUGUACAAGAAGACGUUUACGAACUCGUUCUAGAGAUCAAAGAUCCUGCGGGUUCUGAUGGAGGUACUUACCGGUGCCAUGUGAAAAACGAAUUUGGAGAAAGCAACGCCAAUCUGAACCUGAACAUCGAGGCUGAACCGGAGCCUGAAGGUGACGGUCCCACAUUUGUCGAAAAACCAAGGAUCACCUCCCACCAAGGAGGCAAAUUGGUCGUUAUGGAGUGUAAGGUACGUUCUAACCCGACGCCGACGAUAGUUUGGUACCGGGAAGGAAACAAGGUUACCGAAUCCUCCAAGAUCACGAUGAGUUUCGAAAAAGUCGAAGAAGAUGUAUAUUACAUCAAACUAGAACUAAAAGACCCCGGACUAGAAGAUUCCGGUCUCUAUAAAUGUAACAUUAAGAACACUUUCGGAGAGCUUAACGCUAACCUUACUCUGAACAUCGAAAUUAUACCAGUUAUUAAAGAAAAACCGAAGGUUAUCAAGAUAAUUAAAAAGAAAACAGUUAUUGUCGAGUGCAAAGUACUCAGCAAGUUUGCACCUGAGUGCACUUGGUUUAAAGAAGAUAACGCGGUUAGGGAAGACAACAGACAUCAAGUACAAGUGGAGCAAGUCAAAGACGGUGAAUUUGCCGUAAAACUUGAAAUUUCCGACGUCCAAAAAACCGACAAAGGUUUAUAUAAAUUAGUAGCCAAAAACGAGAAGGGAGAAGCUACUUCACAAACUGUCGAAGUAACCGAACUCCCACCCGAUGAGAAGCCCAAAGGCGAGAAGCCAAAACUUACAAAACUCACUAACAUCACAAUUGAAGAAGGAAAAACAGCUGAUUUCAUUUCCUCCCUCAAAGUAGCUGACAAAAGCGUCACUAUCACUUGGUACAAGGAAAGUACAGUUAUAAAGGAAUCUAGCGACAUAAAAAUAUCAUUCGAUGGCACUGUAACACGGCUUACCAUCAGCAAAUGCAAAGUCACCCAUUCUUCCACAUACAGAGUCAUUGCUAAAAACGAAUUUGGUGAGGAUGAAGCCACGGCAGUAUUGACGGUCAAAAAGAGGAAAGACGAAGAGGAGGAGGAAGAAGAGGAGGAAAGCGAGGAAGAAAUAUCAGAAAUCAAAGAAAAAAAGAUGGAAUCGGAUGAAGAAGAGGUAGAGGAAUCAGAGGAGGAAGAGGAAGUAAAAAAGACAGUAGAAAAGAAAGAGGAAAAGAAAGAGGAAAAGAAAGAAGAGAAAAAGGUAGAAAAGAAAGUUGAGAAAAAGGCAGAAGAAAAAAAGGAAGAAACCAAAGUAGUGCAAAAGAAGGAGGAAGAAAAGAAGGUAAAUGAUAUCGCUAAAAAGGAUACGAAAAAAGAGGAGGAAACAAAAACCGAGGAGAAAAAAGCAGUGAGACGUUCUUCCGUUCAAAAGGUUGAAAAGACUGAAUCGCGCAGAAGUUCCAUAGUCACCGAAGAAAAAAUAAUUAAAGACGGCGAAAAGAAAUCGGCCAGUCGUAAAUCUUCAAUAGUAACCAAGGAAGAAGAAUCAAAGACUGAAACUAGACGCACAUCAGUGGCUGAAGACAAAACCAAAAAAGUCUCUGCGGGCGCUAAAAAAUUAGAACCCACCCCUGAAGCGAAAACACCAACCACACCUAUAAACAAUGUAGACGACAUAUUCGCCGCCAAAAAAACCGAACCUGAAAAACUCAAAUCACCUCCACCAAAAGACGCUGCUAAACCGAAAGCAGCCUCCAAAGUGAAAUCACCCCCUCCGGCUGAAACAAAAGAAACACCAAAGCCUACUACACCCGCAUCAAAAAUUAAGUCACCCCCACCAGCGGAAACACCCAAACCCAAAGAACCCGAACCAGCUAAGGUUGAACCAAAAGCUAAAACUCCUUUAGAAAAGAAGGCUGAACCACCUAAAUCCGAAGAACCCGCUCCCAAUCUAAGCAAAACACGUACAGGUCUUAAGAAGGUUGAGGAGAAAACUGCAGAAGCCACGAAACUGAAGACCGAAACUGAACCGCAAAAACCCAAACCCAAACUUCCUCCAAAAAAUCCGGUUCAGAAAGGCAGUUUCUUAGGCAUUCAAUUAAAGCCGGUGAAAAAAGAAGCCAAAACUGUCGAAAAUGUUCAAAUAGAAACCGACCUGAAGUCCACUGAAGUGAAAAAAUCAGAAAAGGCUGCCGUGUCUAAAGGCAAAAAAGACGAAAAAUUUGACUACAACGCAUGGGAAAAUAUUCCUGAUUACGACAGGCCCGUUUUAGAAAAGUUCGAGCCUCACGAGAAAGUCGACUAUGCCGGUAGAGAAAAAACCAAACUUUCCAAGGAAAAACCACUCUUGGCUACGGAAGCCAAAGAAAAGCCUACUUUAGCAGCCGAACAGAAGGCUGUACCGACGGUUCCUCAAAUCAAAACUCCCGAGGCACCUAAAAUCGAGGUUAUCAAAGAACGAACUCCAGAACCGAGGAAGAAGUCGUUGGAACCCCAACAGGGCAGUGGUAGCAGAAGAGGUUCCUUAAUACCUCCCGAAGCUAUGGGCCGAAGGGCUAGUUUGAUCAUCUCUGACGAGGAACAUAGAAAACUGAGGCCAGGCGAGGUGUUAGAAGAGAAAAAGCGUCGGAGACCCAGCUCAGAAGUGAGGAGACCAAGUGUUGCUGAAUUAGAGGAUAAAAUUAAUAAACCGUCAACACCACUUAAACCUUCAGGACCUAAAGGAUCACCACCCAGUAUAAUAGACGUCCAAGAGAAUUAUUCAUCAGUUGAAGAUCAAGUGGCUUAUAUCAGUCUGCAAGUAGAAGGUGACCCUGUCCCGACAUUCAAAUUUUACAAGGGCGUAACCGAAAUCAUAGAAGGUGGUAGAUUUAAAUUUCUGACAGAUGGAGAGACGAAUACUAUUACUUUAUGUAUCAGAAAAGUCAAGCCUAACGAUGAGGGGCAGUACAAAGUUGUUGUUUCCAACGUUCAUGGCGAAGAUACUGCCGAGAUGAUGCUUUACGUAGCCGGUGCUGCUGGUGUUGAUUUCCGAUCAAUGUUGAUGAAGAGGAAAUACGCCAAAUGGGACAAGGAUAAGGGUGACCCUGAUUGGGGUGAUUUGAAGGAAGUUGAAAAACCAGUUCCAGCGCUUAAGAAAGUAGAAAAGAAACAAGAAAGCUUCUUGAGACCUCUCGUUGACCAGUAUGCCAAGGAAGGUAAAGAUAAGAAAGUCGUGUUUGAAGCAGGGUUCUCCAAACCAAACUGCAAGCCAAAGUGGCUCGUUAGGAAAGAUGAGCUUUUCCAAGGCGCAAAAUACAAAUUCAAAAACGAAAACGACAUGUACCAACUGAUCAUCAUGAACCCCAAGGUUGAGGACUCUGGAAAAUACUCGAUUGAAAUUGGUGGAGUCAGUUGCACAGCUUUCUUAAACGUUGAAGAACCAGAUCCAUCCUACACUUUCACUAAACCCCUUAAGAAGAAGUACGAUGGAUACACUGAGCACGAAGUAGAACUCUCUUGUACAGUGAGCAACAGCUUGGCUAUUGUUGGUUGGUACAAAGGCGACGUCAAACUAGAUGAUGGACCUAAAUACCAAAUUUCGAAGGAUUUAAGCGGAGUAUGCCGACUUACUAUAAAAGACUGUACCUUCGACGACAUCGCAGAAUACAGCUGUAAAUUAGAAAAGCAAACAGAUAAAACAACUGCUAAAGUAAACAUUGUUGAUUAUCCAUACAAGUUUGUAAAAGUUUUAAAACAUCAGCAACAUGUAGAAAAGGAAAAUAUCACGUUCCUGUGUGAAUUAAACGAUGCUGGAGGUGAAGUCAAAUGGUUCAAAGGCGACCAAGAAAUCGUUGCUGACAAAAGACUGGUCAUCAGUAAAGAUGGCAGGAAGCGCAAGUUGGUUAUCAAAGACGCUAAAGUCACCGAUGCUGGAAUGUAUUCCUGUGUCAGUAAUGCUGACAAAACCGAAGCUGAAUUAGUAGUAAACUAUCUCAACAGAUUCAACAAAAAACUAAAAGACACAGUUGCCGUUGAAAGAGAAAAACUGGUCCUUGAUAUCGAACUUGAAGAUCAAACUGCCCCAGCCGAGUGGUUCUUCAAUGGAAAACCAAUUGAACCUUCAGACAGGAUCGAAAUUAAGAAUCUCGGAGGAGGUAAACAUCAACUAAUCUUCAACAAACUAGACAUGGAGGAUGACGGUGAAAUCAGAGUAGAGUCAGGAAAAUUAGAAUCUUCCAUGAAAUUAUCAGUGAAAAAGGGUGAAAGCAUCCCUAAAAUUGAUUUUCCAUCUGUCUUUGAAGCACCUAUUAGCAAGCCUAUCUUAAUGGAAGUCCCUUACAAAGUCGAAGGAACCCGUCAAAGUCAGUUAGAAGCUAAACUAAUCAAAGACGGAAAAGUUCUUCCCAUCAAAGACGUAGAUGUCUCCAUAACCGACGAUAAAGUUACGUUCAAAAUCAAGAAACCAACUAGAGAUCAAUCCGGUCCGUACCAAGUGAAAUUAUCUAAUGCCCAAGGAGAAGAUGUGAAAGACGUCAAGAUCAUAAUGCAGGACGUUCCUCAGCCUCCUCAAGAUGUCAACGUUACUGACGUUUUCCAAGAUAACUGCAAAGUUGCUUGGAAAGCUCCUAGUGAUGAUGGUGGAGCGCCUAUUCUACAUUACGUUAUCGAACGCCAAGAUCUGAGCUUGAAAGCCCAAUGGGAGAGCGUUGGUGAAGUCAAACAAGGCCAACCGACGACUUUUAAAGUCGAAGGGUUAAUACCUAAAAAACAAUAUAAGUUCAGAAUAAGGGCAGUAAACAAACUAGGCUCCAGUGAGCCAGGCCUCUUUGCCAAGCCAGUUCUUGCUAAAGAUCCAUGGGAUGAGCCUAGCAAGCCCCAAAACGUCGAAGUUGUUGACUGGGACAAGGAUCAUGCCGAUCUCACAUGGAAGGCACCUGAAAGUGACGGUGGUGCGCCUAUUACUGGAUAUAUAAUCGAAGUUAAAGAUAAAUUUGGAAAAGAAUGGACCAAAGGGCUUGAAGUGGAAGGAGAUCAGCUCUCUGGAACCGUCCCUGGUUUAAAAGAAAACAAUCAGUACGAAUUCCGAGUUAGGGCAGUGAAUAAAGCCGGACCUGGUGAACCUAGCGACACAACAAAACCUAUUAUUGCCAAAUGUAGAUUUGUUAAACCAUUUAUCAUCGGUGACGACUUGAAGAGUAUUAUUAUCAAAAAAGGACAAAUCGUCAAAUAUGAUAUUAAAUAUGGUGGAGAACCCGAGCCUACAGUUCAAUGGUUCCUCGACCAAAAAGAAAUUAAACCAGAUAGUGAAGAACGCGUUACAAUCGACGCCUAUGAAAAGAACACCAUCAUCACAGUAAGAAGAGCUACACGAGCUGACAGUGGCAAAUACCGCCUUGUCCUCACUAACAGUUCCGGUACUUGCGAAGGAAAAGCCGAAGUAAUUGUUCUGGAUAAACCAACGGCUCCCAAGGGACCUUUAGAACCAGAGGAAAUUAGAGCUGAUCACGUAACAGUGAAGUGGCAAAGACCAGAGGACGCCGGAGGCACCGAGCUAACUGGUUAUGUCCUGGAAAAAAUGGACAUGGAUACCGGAAGAUGGGUAUCCGCGGGAGAAGUUGGUCCUGGAGAUACAAAAUUCACUUUCAAAGGUCUCACUCCUAAAAAGAAAUACAAGUUCAGGGUUAGGGCUAAGAACAAGGAGGGCGAAUCGGAACCACUGGAAACUUCCGAUUUUAUUCUUGCGAAAAAUCCUUACGAUGAACCGGGAGCGCCGGGAAAACCUGAAAUCAUCGACUAUGAUAACAAGAGCGUCACUUUGAAGUGGGCCAAACCCGAAAACGACGGAGGAAGGCCCAUCACUCACUACACCGUCGAAAUGAAAGACAAGUUCUCUCCUGAUUGGAAGGAAGUGGCCACAACCUCAGACAGUAACCCAGAAGCAAAGGUAGAAGGACUUAAAGAAAAUCAGGUGUAUCAGUUUAGAGUGAGAGCACACAAUAAGGCCGGACCUAGUGUUCCCUCUGAACCUACCGAUAACCAUCUCUGCAAGCAUAAGAACUUAAAACCAAGAAUUGACCGAGAAACCUUCAAAUCAGUCACGAUUAAGGCUGGCCGUACCCACAAAUGGGCCGUAGACUUUAUGGGUGAGCCUCCACCGGAAGUCAAGUGGGUAUGGAGAGACAACAUUCCACUUACGAACACCGAACGCAUCAAAAUCGAAAAUUCCGAUUACCAUACAGACUUCACGCUACAUAACGCAGUACGAAAAGACACGGGAAAAUAUACGCUUAUCAUUGAAAAUUGCAAUGGAAAGGACCAAGAAACCGUCGAAUUGACGGUUCUGAGCAAACCGGGAGCUCCAGAAGGACCGCUCCAGGUCAGCGACGUCACUGCCGAAAAGGCCAAGAUUAGCUGGAAGAAACCAGAGGACGAUGGUGGCAGUCCAAUCAAGGAAUACGAAAUCGAAAAGAUGGACGUCGCCACAGGGAAGUGGGUCCGCUGUGGUCGUGUACCGGGUGAUAAAUUAUCUCCUGACGGAAAAGGAGAAUUCGAAGUUACCGGACUGAACCCGGGCUCAGAGUACAAGUUCAGAGUCACAGCCGUUAACAACGAAGGUGACUCUGAGCCUCUUGUUUCCGAACGACCGACUUUAGCUAAGAAUCCAUUUGACACACCCGGCAAACCAGGGUUGCCUGAAAUCGUCGAUUACGACAACAAGGGUGUCGAUCUCAAAUGGACCGCCCCAUCAAAUGAUGGAGGUGCUCCAAUAGAAAAAUACAUUAUCGAAAAGAAAGAUCGUUACAAGCCUGAUUGGGAAAAGGCUAUUGAAGUGCCCGGUGAUCAAUUGCAAGCCAGAGUUGAAGACCUUAAAGAACGAGGAGAGUAUCAAUUUCGAGUAAUAGCCGUGAACAAAGCUGGACCAGGCACACCAUCUGAUGCUUCCCAAAUGCAAAUAAUCAAACAUAGAUCACUUAAACCUAGAAUCGAUAGAACCAAUCUAAAACCAAUCAUAGUACGUGCCGGAAAACCAAUUAAAUAUGACAUUGAUGUCAGAGGCGAACCUCCACCAACUUGCACGUGGUUCCAAGUAGAUACCGAACUGAAAUCCGAAGGCAACAUCGAAAUCAUUAACGUAGACUAUAAUACUAAACUUAAUAUUACUAACGCCGUCCGUAAAAAUACAGGUCUUUAUAAAAUUAAAGCAGUAAACGAACAUGGUUCGGACGAAGCUGAAGUCGAAGUUACCGUACUUUCGGCACCAGGGAAACCAAAGGGCCCACUUAAAGUGUCUGACGUCACAAAGGGUGGAUGCAAAUUGAAGUGGGAGAAGCCAGAGGACGAUGGUGGCAAACCAGUAACCGGUUACCAAGUGGAGAAAUUAGAUAAAGCUACCGGCAGAUGGGUGCCUGUAGGACGUACAGGUCCUAACGACACCGAACUGGAUGUUAAAGGUUUGACUGAAGGCCACGAGUACGAUUUCAGAGUGAAGGCCAUUAAUGACGAAGGCGAAUCUGAGCCUUUGGAAACGGACAGUUCCAUUAUCGCUAAGAACCCGUAUGACAUUCCUGGAAAACCAGGCACACCAGAAAUUACAGACUGGGAUGCAGAUAGGGUUGAUCUCAAAUGGACUGCUCCGAAAAGUUCAGGAGGUGCGCCGAUUACCGGCUAUGUUAUUGAGAAAAAAGAAAAAUUCUCCACUUCGUGGGACGAGAUUCUCAGCACCGACUCUCCGACUUGUGAAGCUAGAGUUCCUGGACUAAAAGACGGUAAUACUUACCAAUUCAGGGUACGAGCUGUAAACAAAGCCGGACCUGGUGAACCAUCCGAUGCAACUGGUCAACACGUUGCGAAAGCCAGGCACUUACGCCCAAUGAUUAACAGAGAAAAACUACAUACUGUAAAAGUUCGUGCAGGACAAUUAGUGAGGUUUGACGUAGACGUCAAAGGUGAACCACCACCGACAUGCACAUGGAGCUUUGCCCACAAACCUUUAGAAAAUAGCCCUACCGUUAAAAUCGAAAAUGAGGACUAUAACACUAAACUUACUCUCUCCGACACCAAGAGAAAAGAUACAGGAACAUACACUCUAAAGGCUGAAAACGAUUCCGGAUUUGACGAAGCUACUGUAGAAGUAAUAAUCUUAGACAAACCUGGUAAACCAGAAGGGCCUCUAGAAGUAAGCGACGUGCACAAGGAAGGCUGCAAACUAAAAUGGGACAAGCCCAAAGAUGACGGUGGCCUCCCUAUUACCGGAUACGUUGUUGAAAAACAAGAUACUCAAACCGGAAGAUGGGUUCCCGCUGGAUUUGUAGAUGCGGACAAAACUGACCAUGAAAUCACUGGCUUGGAACCAAACAAGAAGUACAACUUUAGAGUGAAGGCUGUUAACGAAGAAGGGGAAUCAGAGCCUUUAGAAACCGACACUGCUACGUUGGCCAAAAAUCCUUAUGACAUAUCUGCACCUCCUGGCUUACCAGAAAUCGUCGACUGGGAUGAGCAUUCAGUAAAACUUAAGUGGGAUAAACCCGUCAGAGAUGGAGGUACUCCUAUUACUGGAUAUGUUAUUGAGGCCAUGGAUAAAUUCACCGGUCAAUUCGUUAAAGUUGCUGAAGUUGGACCACAAUGCCAAGGCACAGUUGGCAAACUGGAGGAAGGAAAUCAAUACAAAUUUAGGGUACGAGCUAUAAAUAAGGCUGGACCGUCAGAACCUUCAGAACAGACUAACUGGCAUACAGCUAAAGCCAGAUUCCUUAAGCCCUUAAUCGAUCGCACCAACCUGAAACCAUUAACUGUUAAGGCAGGUCUUUCUAUCAGCUUGGACGUGAAUAUUCAAGGUGAACCUCCACCAAAGGUAACAUGGUUAUACGAUGGCAAGGAAAUUGAAUCCACUGAAGAACUCCGCAUCGACAACGUCGAUUAUAACACCAAAUUCUUCGUUCUCAAAUCCAAGAGAUCCCAAUCUGGAAAAUACACUAUCAUUGCAAAGAAUGAAGUUGGCGAAGACCAAGCUGAAAUCGAAAUUUCUAUUCUUGGAAAGCCAUCUGCUCCUAAAGGACCUUUAGAUGUAACCGAUGUAACUAAACAUGGUUGCAAGCUCAAAUGGAAGAAACCUGAUGAUGAUGGUGGUACUCCAAUUGAUCAUUACGCAAUCGAAAAGCUCGAUCCAACAACUGGUCAAUGGAUACCCUGUGGAAGAAGUACUGAACCAGAAGCAAAUAUAACUGGCUUACAAGAGGGCAAACCUUACAAAUUCAGAGUUAAGGCUGUAAAUAAAGAGGGCGAAUCAGAACCUCUUGAAACAGAAAAGUCUAUAAUAGCUAAAAAUCCCUUUGAUGAACCUAGUAAACCUGGCCGUCCCGAUCUUAAAAACUGGGAUAAAGACUUUGUUGAACUGGCAUGGAAAGCACCCGUCAGCGAUGGAGGUGCUCCAAUUCAGAAGUACAUCAUCCAAAUGCACGACAAAGCUGGCCGAGGCUGGGUUGAUGCUGCUACUGUACCUGGAGAUAAAACUGCUGGACGUGUAGACACGGUAGAAGAAGGACACGAAUACGAAUUCAGAAUUGUUGCUGUAAAUAAAGCAGGACCAAGCGAACCUAGCGAUCCAUCGAAACCUGUUAUUGCCAAACCCCGAUUCUUGGCACCCAAAAUUGAUCGUAAGAAUCUCACAAAGAAAGUGCUCCGUCCUGGUCAGCUACUUCGUCUGGAAGCUGAUGUUAAAGGUGAACCUCCACCAACAGUUACCUGGACUUUGAAGGAACAAACUUUAAGAAACAAUGACCGGCUCAAAAUCGACAAUGAAGAUUAUCACACUAGUUUUGUGCUACAAAAAGUCCAAAGAAGUGAUACUGGUACAUACGUAGUUACUGCUAGGAACGACUCUGGAGUAGAUACAGUAGAAGUGGAACUACAAGUAGUCACUAAGCCUUCCAAGCCCAAAGGACCACUCAAAGUAUCAGAUGUAUCUGCGGAAGGCUGCAAACUUAAAUGGGAAGCUCCAGAAGACGACGGUGGUGAGCCAGUGACCGGCUAUGUAGUUGAAAGAAUGGACGUUGAAACCGGAAGAUGGGUUCCUGUAACUACUACAAAAACUCCAGAGGCAGACGUAACCGGCCUGAACGAAGGCAAGGACUAUCAAUUCCGCGUGAAAGCUGUUAACUCUGAAGGUGAAUCUGAACCACUAGUAACUGAUGAACCUACAACAGCGAAAAAUCCUUACACCGAGCCUGACGCCCCUGGAAAACCUGAACUUAAAGACUGGACCAAAGACCAUGCAGAUCUCAAAUGGACUCCACCGAAGAACGACGGCGGAGCGCCUGUAGAAAAAUAUAUUAUUGAAAAGAAAGAUCCGAUCACAGGAAAAUGGCACAAAGCCGUCGAAGUACCCGGAAACAAAACCGAAGCAAGGGUACCUGACUUGCAGGAAGGACAGAAAUAUUCAUUUAGAGUUAAGGCAGUUAACAAAGGAGGUGAGAGUAAACCUUCUGAAGCUUCCGACACAAUUACUGCCAAAGACAGAUUUGUUCCACCCAAGAUUGAUCGUAGUACACUAAGAGACCUGACUGUUAAAGCCGGACAACAUAUACGUCUGGAUGUUAAAGUUUCUGGAGAACCUCCACCAUCAAAAACAUGGUUCUUGAAUAAAGCACGUAUUGAAAACAGAGACGAUAUUAACGUGGAUGUCGAGGAUUACAGAACAAAAUUAGUUAUUGGAGUAGCUAAGAGAGAACAUACAGGAACUUUAGUAUUGAAAGCUGAAAAUAGUUCCGGAAGAGAUGAAGCUAGUAUCGAAAUUAAAGUAUUAGACAAACCUGGAAAACCAGAAGGACCUUUGCGAAUUAGUGACGUGCAUAAAGAAGGAUGUUCUCUCAAAUGGAACGCCCCUCUAGAUGAUGGUGGUGUACCAAUUGAUUAUUACCAAGUAGAGAAAUUAGAUACAGCUACUGGCCGCUGGGUACCUGCCGGACGAGCCAAAGAACCCAAAAUUGCUCUUGACAAUUUAGAACCUGGCCAAGAAUACAAAUUCCGAGUAUCUGCAGUUAACGCCGAGGGCGAGUCUGAGCCUCUCGAAGCAGAACAAACAAUUGUCGCUAAAAAUCCCUUCGAUGAACCUGGAGCUCCUGGAACUCCUGAAGUAGUAGACUGGGACAAAGAUCAUGUUGACUUAAGAUGGACUCCACCAGCAAAUGAUGGUGGAUCUCCAAUCACCGGAUACAUUAUCGAAAAAAGGGAGAAGGGAUCGCCAAAAUGGACAAAGGCUGGUGAAACCGGUCCAUUCGAGACCAAAGGAACAGCUGACAAUUUAGACGAAGGCGUCGAAUAUGAAUUUAGGGUCAGAGCUGUUAAUGCUGCAGGACCAGGAGAACCUAGUCAAGCCUCUAAGUCCGUUACUACCAAACCAAGAAGACUGGCUCCUAAAAUUGAUCGUCGUAAUCUCCAUAAUCUGACGGUCAAAGAAGGAGAACCUAUUUAUAUAGACGUAAAAGUUAGCGGUGAACCUGCUCCUGAUGUCACAUGGUACCAAGAAGGACGUACUAUCACGGAUUCCACACACAAGCGUGUUGACAACGUUCCUUACAACUCCAAAUUCUUCAACGAUAAACCCGAGCGCAAGGAUAGUGGAGUUUACAAAAUCGUCGCUGUCAACAAAUAUGGUCAAGAUCAAGUAGAGAUUGAUAUUACAGUAGUUUCAAAACCAGGACAACCUGAAGGACCCUUAGAGGUAUCAGAUAUCCAUAAAGAUGGAUGUACAUUGAAGUGGAAGCGACCAAAGGACGACGGUGGUGAACCAGUAGAAAAUUAUGUAGUAGAAAAGUUAGACCCAGAAACUGGAAUUUGGUUGCCUGUAGGUAAAACUAAUGGAGCCAUACCCGAGAUGAAGGUAGAUGGAUUAGUUCCCGGACACGAUUAUAAAUUCAGAGUUAAAGCUGUUAACAAAGAAGGUGAAUCAGAACCUCUGGAAACUAUUGGGACGAUCACUGCUAAAGAUCCAUACACUACCGCUGCUAAACCCGGUACUCCAGAACCUGAAGACUGGUCGGCAAAUCACGUUGACCUGAAAUGGACUGAGCCUGUGUCAGAUGGUGGCUCUCCUAUUACCGGAUAUAUCAUAGAAAUGAAAGACAAAUACAGUCCCCUAUGGGAAAAAGCAGUUGAAACUACUAGCCCCUCACCAAAAGCCACAGUCACUGGUUUAAUUGAAGGCAAUGAAUAUCAGUUUAGAGUCAUCGCCGUUAAUGCUGCAGGCCAAAGUCCUGCUUCAGACGCUAGCAAGAUCUUCGUAGCCAAACCUAGAUUUUUGGCUCCAAAGAUUGACAGACGCUAUUUACAUGACGUUACCAUAUCAGCAGGAUCUCCACUUAAAUUCGAGGCUAAUAUUAUUGGUGAACCUCCACCAACAGUUGAAUGGCGUUUUAAUGGUAGUACUUUAAGAAAUGACAAACGAACGACAAUUGACAACGUUGAUUACAACACUAAAAUUGCUAUUCGUCCAGUAGGCCGGGAUGAUACCGGUCAGUAUACUGUUACAGCAACAAAUAGCUCUGGAAAGGAUAGUCACACAAUUAAUGUCACUGUUACUGACAAACCAACACCACCACAAGGACCGUUACAAAUUUCUGACGUUAACAAGAACGGGUGCAAACUUAAAUGGAAAAGACCAAAGGAUGAUGGUGGCACUCCAGUAGAAUAUUACCAAAUCGACAAAAUGGACCCCGAAACUGGUUGUUGGGUUCCCUGUGGCAGAGCUACAGAACCUAACUUUGAAGUUACCGGUCUCACUCCAAACCACGAAUACAAAUUCAGAGUAGCGGCAGUGAAUGCUGAAGGUGAAUCAAAACCACUAGAAGCAGAAGAAACGAUCAUUGCAAAGAAUCCAUUCGAUGAACCUGGACCGCCAGGACAUCUUAAAGCUACCGAUUGGGACAAAGAUCAUGUAGAUCUAGAAUGGACACCUCCAAAAGAUGACGGUGGGUCUCCAGUUACUGGAUAUAUCAUUGAAAAGAAAGACAAAUUUGGAGAUUGGGAAAAAGCUCUUGAAGUUCCUGCGGAUAAGUUUAAAGCAACAGUACCGGAUCUAAUUGAAGGCCAACCCUAUCAAUUCAGAGUCCGUGCUGUCAACGCUGCUGGUCCUGGAGACCCAAGCAACGAAACGCCUACAAUUAUUGCUAAGGCGCGCAAUUUGGCACCGAAGAUUGACAGGACGAACUUAAUCGAAGUAAAAAUUCGCGCCGGUCAAAACUUUGCGUACGACGUUAAAGUUUCUGGCGAGCCAAUGCCAGCUACUAAAUGGCUAUUAAAGGGUAAAGAAAUUAAAUCUGGCCCCAACUGCAAAGUUCAGCAUUUAGACUACAACACAAAACUAUCUAUACGUAAUGCUACCAGAGCUGAUUCUGGUACGUACACGGUAACAGCUGAAAAUGCCAACGGAAAAGACAUUGCUGAAGUUGAAGUUACCGUUCUCGACGUCCCUAGCCCACCAGGUGGCCCUCUAAAAGUAUCUGAUGUUCACGCUAAAGGUUGUAAACUUAGUUGGAGACCACCAGCAGAUGAUGGUGGUCAGCCCGUUGAAAAUUACGUAGUAGAAAAAAUGGACGAAGCUAGUGGAAGGUGGGUUCCAGUGGGUGAAACUGAGGGACCGCAAACAUCAAUAAAUGUCGAUGGUCUAACACCGGGCCACAAGUACAAAUUUAGAGUUCGCGCCCAAAACCGUCAAGGAAAAUCCGAACCCUUGACGACGUCCCAAGCAAUCGAAGCUAAAAAUCCAUUCGACGAACCUGGUAAGACCAGCGCACCGGAGAUUACUGACUAUGACAGCGAUUUCGUCGAACUGAAAUGGGAUAAGCCAGAAAACGAUGGUGGCUCUCCAAUCACUGGCUAUAUUAUCGAAAAACGAGAUAAGUUUAAUCCGAGUUGGGAAAAAUGCGCAGAAGUCGAAGGAGACGUGCCCAAGGGUAAGGUCAAGGACCUUAUCGAAGGUACUCCAUAUGAAUUCAGGAUCAGAGCUGUAAAUAAAGCCGGACCUGGCGAACCUAGCGACGCAUCCAAGAUCCAUGUCGCUAGACCCAAGAACCUUCCACCUAAAAUCGACAGAAAUGCCUUAUUUGAUCUUAAAGUUAAAGUGGGACAGUCAAUCGAAUUUAACGUCCCUGUUAUCGGUGAACCACCACCAAGCAAAGAAUGGUUACAUAAAGAUAAUGUAUUAUUCAACACAGACCGUGUUAAAAUAACUAACGAAGAUUACAAGACCCACAUUAAGAUUACAGAUGCCCAAAGAGCAGACAGUGGUCCAUACACCUUAACCGUUAAAAAUAUCAACGGAAAAGAUACAGCCACUGUAAAGGUAACAGUUCUGGAUGUUCCUACACCACCAGAAGGUCCUCUUAGAGCUGAUAACGUUACUAAGUCAUCGUUAACUCUGAGCUGGAAACCACCAAAAGAUGACGGAGGUUCCGAAAUUUCCCAUUACCAAGUUGAAAAACUUGAUACUGAAAACAUGAGAUGGGUACCUGUAGGUGAUUCGGUUGGAACAACAAUGAGAGUUCCAAAUCUGACUGAAGGACAUGAUUACCAGUUCAGAGUUCGAGCAGUAAAUAAACAGGGGGAAUCAGCUCCACUCACCACCACUGAAAGUAUUACAGCAAAAGAUCCAUUUAGUAAACCUGACAGACCUGGUGCUCCUAAACCCACAGACUGGGACAAAGAUCAUGUGGAUCUUGAAUGGACUCCGCCAAGAAAAGAUGGCGGUGCACCUAUUACAGAGUAUAUUAUCGAAAAGAGACCUAAACACGGGACAUGGGAAGAAGCAGCUAGAGUUCCCGGAAACAGUACUAAGGGAACUGUUCCUAAUCUAACUGAAGGAGAAGAAUAUGAAUUCAGGAUAAUAGCGGUAAACAAAGGAGGUCACAGUGAACCCAGUGAGGCCUCAAUUCCAGUUAUUGCCAAGCCCAGAUUUUUGGCUCCGUCCUUUAAUAAGAGUUUAUUGGAAGACAUUACCAUCAAAGUUGGUCAACGAUUUGGCUGGACGAUUCCAAUCGAAGCUGCUCCAAAACCAACAGCUAAGUGGACUGUAAAUGGCAAAGAAAUACCUGUUUCUGAUAGAGUAGAUCAUGCUGUUUACAACAACAAAGUCUCAUUUGACGUUUCGUCUGCAGUGAGAGCUGAUGCCGGUAGAUAUACGUUAACUCUCAGCAACGACUUGGGAAGCUUUAGUGCUUCUGCACAAGUCACAGUAUUAGAUAAACCAGGCCCACCGCAACCACCAUUAGAUGUGGGUAGCGUUACUAAAGACAGCGCAAGAAUUUCCUGGAAACCACCACUUGACGACGGUGGUUCACCGAUUCUUCAUUACAUCGUGGAGAAAAUGGACGUUUCUCGUGGAACUUGGUCUGAUGCUGGAAUGGCUACAAUCACUUCCCAUGAUAUCACCCGAUUAAUUCACAAGAAAGAAUACUACUUCCGUGUUAAGGCUGUAAAUGCAGUAGGCGAAUCUGAACCACUCGAAACACCUAGAAGCAUCAUUGCCAAAAACGAAUUUGAUGAACCUAGUGCUCCUGGAAAACCGGCAGUUACUGACUGGGAUAAAGAUCACGUAGACUUAGAAUGGACACCACCAAAGAACGACGGUGGUUCUCCCAUCACUGGUUAUAUCGUACAAAAGAAAGAGAAGGGAAGUCCAUAUUGGACAAAUGCCGUCCAUGUGCCAGCAAGGAAGACUGGUUGCACUGUCCCUGAUCUAACAGAAGGCCAAGAAUACGAAUUUAGAGUUAUAGCAACAAAUACUGCUGGCCAGAGUGAACCAUCUGAACCCUCUGAUCUUGUAACAGCUAAAGCCAGAUUUUUGGCACCGAAAAUCAAAACACCGCUCAACGAUAUCCGUAUUAAGGCUGGACUUAUCUUACACAUUGACAUCGACUUCAUUGGAGAACCAUGCCCUGAAGUCACAUGGACCGUUGGAGGAAAUCCUCUUGUUGCUGACGACCGCACAACGGUAACCUCAAUUGGAUAUCAUACCGUAAUACAUACGGUAAACGCUAAAAGAUCGAAUAGCGGUUUGUAUCAUAUUUUGCUCAAGAAUAAUUCAGGUAUAGAUGAAGGUUCAUUCCAAGUGACUGUUCUGGAUCGGCCGGGACCACCUCAAGGACCUUUGGAAUAUGAAGAAGUAACAGCUCAAAGUGUUACUCUUUCGUGGAAACCACCUAAAGAUAACGGUGGAAGUGAAAUUACGGGAUAUGUAAUUGAAAAACGUGAUUUGACUCAUGGAGGAGGUUGGGUACCAGCUGUUAACUACGUUAAUCCCAAAUACAACCACGCUAUUGUACCGAGACUACUGGAAGGAACUAAAUAUGAAUUUAGAGUUUUCGCUGAAAACUUACAAGGAAGAUCAGAACCUCUUGAAACUGAAAAACCAGUAGUAGCCAAAAAUCAAUACGAUGUACCCGGAAAACCAGGCAAGCCUGAACUGGUUGACAGUGACAAAGAUCAUAUCAAGAUUAAAUGGACUGCGCCGAUAAGCAACGGUGGCUCACCUAUUCUAGGCUAUGAUAUCGAACGCCGUGAUAGAGCUACCGGCAGAUGGGUGAAACUUAACAAAGAACCCGUAAGAAGUCAAGAAUAUUACGAUGAUCGUGUACAAGAAGGUCAUCAGUACGAAUAUAGAGUAUCGGCAGUAAAUGCCGCAGGAAACGGCAAGCCUAGUGACGCGUCCAACGCAUUUAUUGCUAAACCAAUGAAGGAAAAACCGAAGUUGUGGCUCGAUGGAAUUAUUGGAAGAAAAAUUAAAGUCCGGGCUGGAGAACCGAUCAAUAUUGAUAUCCCACUUUCAGGUGCACCAGCUCCAAAAGUGGAAUGGAUUAAAAAUAAAUUGCAAGUUCCCGAAAGCAGCAGAGUAUAUACUGAAACUAAUAGUGAACACACCAGAUUCCGUGUUGAGGCAUCUAACAGGGCUGAUUCAGGAACCUACACGGUCCGAGCUAAAAACGAAUUUGGCUCUGACGAAGCCGAUAUCGAAGUUAUUGUCGUUGAUAAGCCAGGAAUACCGAAAGGCCCGCUUCAGUACACUGCAACGACCCAAGACUCUGUUUCUCUAUCUUGGAACCCACCAGAAGAUGACGGUGGUGGAGAUAUCACCGGUUACAUCGUAGAAAUUUCUGAAUACGGCACUGAUUUAUGGCGACCCUGUCCUGGGUUCUGUCCCAGACCAUCGUUCACCGCUAGAGGUCUAACCGAAGGCAAGAAAUAUGUAUUCAGAGUGCGCGCCGAAAAUAUUUAUGGAGUUUCAGAGCCUCUCGAAGGAAAACCAGUUGUAGCUAAGAGUCCGUUUGAUCCACCAGGCCCACCAAGCCAGCCAGAAGUUACUGGUUACACACCUAACUCCUGUUCACUCAGAUGGAAUCCUCCGGUAUCUACCGGUGGAAAGCCUAUUAGUGGAUAUAUCGUUGAAAAACGUGAACGUGGUGGUGAUUGGAUUAAAGUUAACAACUACCCAACUCCAAACGCACAGUACACUGUCCAGGAUUUGCGUGAAGGAAACAAGUAUGAAUUCCGUGUAACUGCUGUUAAUGAAGCAGGCCCUGGAGAACCAAGUAAGCCAACUGAACCGAUAAUUGCUCAACAUCAAAGAUUCAAACCUUCGGCUCCAGAACCACCAAAAGCCGAUCGCAUUACUAAAGAUAGUGUCACCUUGUCAUGGAGACCACCAAAGAGCGAUGGAGGUUCAAGACUUAAGGGAUACAUAUUACAACAACGUCCUAAAGGCUCUAAUGACUGGACAGAUGUGAACGCUUUACCUAUCAAUGACACUGUCUAUACCGUUCCACGGCUUAAGGAAGGAGAAGAAUACCAAUUUAGGGUUAUUGCUGUUAACGAUGUAGGAAACUCUGAACCUAGUAGACCAAGUAAUCCAAUCCUUAUCGAAGAACAACCAAACAAACCUUGCAUGGAUUUGGGUGGUGUCCGAGAUAUUACAGUACGCGCUGGGGAAGAUUUCAGUAUACACGUUCCGUACAUUGGAUUCCCCAAACCAACCGCGGCGUGGUUUGCAAAUGACAAACUUCUUGACGAAUCAGACAAUCGUAUAUUCCCGCAAUUAGCUGAUGAUUACGCUAGCAUCAUUGUGAAGAACUCUAAACGCUCUGACACUGGGCAGUACAGGUUACAACUCAAGAAUCCAUCUGGAUUUGACACUGCAACUAUUAACGUCAGAGUUCUUGACAGACCCGGCAAACCUGAAAACCUACGAGCUGAUGAAUUUGCCGGUGAUGCACUUACUCUAUACUGGCAACCACCUAAAGAUAACGGUGGUGCUGAUAUCACCAAUUACAUCGUUGAAAAGAAAGAAGCUAAGUCAUCCACAUGGACUAAAGUUAGCAGUUACGUUACUGUUCCAUUUGUUAGGAUCAGAAACUUGACACUAGGAAAGGAAUACGACUUCAGAGUCAUUGCUGAAAAUCAAUACGGCCAAUCCGAACCGGCUGUCACUUCAGAACCAAUUCGUGCAAGACAUCCAUUUGAUCCACCAGGUGCCCCAGGAACGCCUAGAGGAAUUGACUCGAGCGAAGAUUCAAUUACCAUUCAAUGGACGAAGCCGCGACAUGAUGGCGGCUCACCAAUCACUGGAUAUGUUAUUGAGAAACGUCUAAUAACGGAAGACAAAUGGACUAAAGCUUCCCAUGCUCUUGUACCUGAUUUAGAUCUUAAAGUAAUCAACUUAAUUGAAAAUCACGAAUAUGAAUUCAGAGUAGCGGCUGUUAAUGCCGCUGGUCAAGGCCCAUGGAGUUCUGCGUCAGAUGCCAUUUGUGCUAGAGCUCCACCAUCCGCACCAAAAAUAACAUCAGAUUUAAGUAUCAGAGACAUAAUUGUUAUCGCGGGUGAAGAACUGAGAAUCACUGUUCCUUACGUUGCAACACCAAAACCGAAAGAAUCCUGGACUAUUAACGGUAAUGAGGUUUCUGGCGAUGAUAGAAUCAAAUUGGAAACUACCGAUAUCGCUUCGAUAUUUUAUAACAAAUCCGCCAAACGUUCUGAUACAGGAAGCUAUACAAUUAAACUUACCAAUUCAAUGGGUUCCGACUCUGCUUCUUGUAGAGUACUUGUUGUAGACAGACCACAGCCACCUCAAGGUCCUCUUGACAUUUCCGAUGUGACACCUGAUAACUGUUCACUAGCAUGGAGACCUCCUCUAGAUGACGGCGGUUCACCUAUAACAAAUUACAUUGUUGAAAAACUAGAUACAAACGGCAUAUGGGUUAAAGUGAGCAGUUUUGUACGCAACACGCAUUACGAUGUUAUGAGUCUAGAACCGAAUAAGAAAUACAGCUUUAGAAUCCGAGCAGAAAAUCAGUAUGGCAUCAGUGAUCCAUUGGAGAGUGCUGAGCCUGUUAUUGCUAAAUAUCCGUUCACUAUACCCGAACCUCCAGGACCACCUCGUGUUGUCGACUGGGAUAGCAAUACCAUCAAUCUUGUAUGGGACCGUCCAAGCCACGAUGGUGGAUCUCGUAUUCAAGGAUAUAAACUUGAAUUCAGAGACGUUCGUGACACGCACUGGGUGAGCGCUAGCGAUUACCUCAUCAAAGACACUCACUUUGACUUGUACAACAUGGUUACCGGACAAGAGUAUGAAUUCAGAGUUCGUGCUAAAAACGCUGCAGGUUUUAGCAAACCUUCAGCUUCAUCAUCCAGAUUUAAACUCAAGGGUAAAUUUAACGUACCAUCUCCUCCACGCAAUCCGAAGGUUGUCAAUGUCGGUAAAGGCUACGUCGAUCUUACUUGGGAACCACCAAGUUCAGACGGGGGAUCCCGAAUUACUGGCUAUAUCAUUGAAAAACGCGAAAUUGGAAGUCCAUUGUGGACGAAGUGUAAUGACUAUAACGUUACAGAUACAAAUUACACUGUGCUUAAUUUACACGACCAGUCCGAAUAUGAAUUCAGGAUAUCAGCUGUGAACGCUGCUGGUAAAGGUGAACCCAGUACAUGUACUGCUCCUGUUAAAGUAUGCGAAGUUCUUGGAGGAGAGAAGCCUGAUUGGGUGCGUAGACUACAAAAUACCUCGGCGCCUCUUGGCAAAUCUGUUAGCUUAGAGUGCGAAGCUACUGGCAAACCUGAACCAACCUUCCGUUGGUUGAAGAAUGGCCGCGAAAUUCAAUUAGGUGGACGAUUUAGAAUGGAAAGUAAAAAUGGAACGGCAUGGCUGCACAUAUCUGAUUUAUUGGACGUUGAUGAUGGAGAUUAUACUUGUGAAGCAAGUAACUCCUUAGGCGCUGUUACCACCACAGCUCGUCUUAAGAUUGGAAAUCCGCCAAGAAUUGAAAGACUACCUGGAGAUUUGUACUUGGCCGAAGGUGAUAAUACAAAGAUCAAGAUAUAUUAUUCUGGAGACCAGCCUUUGGACGUCAGCUUGUCAAAGAACGGCCAGAAGAUUGAUGAUGAUUCUCACAUCCGCUUUACGGUGUUUGACGAUUACAUCAUAAUCUUUAUAAAGGACAUUAAGAAAUCUGACGCUGGAAGCUACAAUCUUACUGUUAAGAAUGACAGUGGAAGCGCAUCUGGAAGCUUCCCUGUAUACAUCACUGGUUUACCCGGACCACCGAAUGGACCUCUUGAAACUACAGAUAUUACUAAACACACUUGCACGCUUAGCUGGAAACCACCAAGCUAUGACGGAGGACUUCGUGUAACACACUACGUUGUAGAAAGGAAAGACAUUACUGGCACACACUGGAUAACCGUUUCCAGUUCAUGUAGAGACACAUCAUUUACUGUCCAAGGUCUAACUGAAGGACAGGAAUAUCUCUUCAGAGUCAUGGCUGUUAACGAUAAUGGAAUGGGACCACCAUUAGAAGGAGUUAACCCUGUUCGGGCUAAAGCACCAUUCGACCCACCGUCACCACCUGGCAUACCUGUCGUUACACAAGUCGGAGGAGAUUUCGUCAACCUUGAAUGGACUAAACCCGAAAACGAUGGAGGAGCUCGUGUACAAGGAUACUGGAUAGACAAGCGAGAAGUUGGUCAACUUGCUUGGCAACGAGUUAACGUAUCGCUUUGCCUACCUACACAAAUCAACAUAUCCAAUCUUAUCGAAGGUCGUCAAUAUGAAUUCAGGGUUUUCGCCCAGAACAUUGCUGGUCUUUCUGAACCAUCAUCAGCUUCGACAUCGGUUGUUAUUAAAGACCCACUAGCUCCAACGCCUCCAGAAAUCAUCAGACCAUUGAAGAACGCUCAGUGCAUCCAAAAUCACAAUGCCAAAUUCGAGUGUACUAUAACUGGUGUACCUGCCCCUACAAUUACGUGGUACAAGGGAGCCAGAGAAAUUACUAAUGGUUCACGUUAUCACAUCUACAGCGAAGGAGAGGUCCAUCAUCUUGUCAUCCAUGACGUAUUCGGAGAAGACGCCGACGAAUACGUGUGCAGAGCUGCUAACAAGGCUGGAGUUAAAUCUACUAGAGCUGAAUUAUUAAUAAUGACUGCGCCCAAACUGAACAUUCCACCACGAUUCCGUGACACUGCAUACUUUGAUAAAGGCGAGAACGUCAUUAUUAAGAUUCCGUUUACUGGUUUCCCCAGGCCUAAAAUUACCUGGGUUAGAGAAGGUGAAGUUAUCGAAUCCGGAGGUCACUAUCACGUUGAAGUUAAAGACAGGCAUGCAAUCCUUACUAUUCGUGACGCAAGCAAGUUAGACAGCGGGCCAUACAGAAUUACAGCGGAAAAUGAGCUUGGCCAAGAUACUGCUAUUAUUAAAAUUCAAAUCGCCGAUCGUCCUGACCCUCCAAGGUUCCCAGCUGUCGAUAAUAUUGGUACUGAUUCUCUGGCAUUAUCAUGGAAGGCUCCUGUUUGGGAUGGAGGUAGUAACAUCACUAAUUACAUGGUGGAGAGACGGGAACACCCUCUUUCUACUUGGAUUCGCGUCGGUAAUACUCGAUUAACCACCAUGGCUGUUAGCGGAUUAACUCCAGGACACCAAUAUGAAUUCAGAGUUUACGCAGAAAACAUUUACGGGCGGUCUGAUCCAUCCGAAGUUAGUACGCUGAUUACCAUGAAAGACACUGCCAAGAAGAAGGUGGAGAAAAGGAAAUAUGAAGUGGACGAAACCGGCAAAAAGAUUAGAGAAUCUCAUAAGGAACCUAUCAAAGACUAUGACAACUACGUCUUUGAUAUAUACUCUAAAUUCGUUCCUCAGCCCGUUGAAAUCAAAACUCGCAGCGUAUACGACGAUUACGAUAUUUUAGAAGAAAUUGGCACAGGCGCAUUCGGAGUGGUUCACAGAUGUCGUGAACGUAAGACUGGCAACAUAUUUGCCGCUAAAUUCAUUCCCGUGUCGCACGCAAUGGAAAAAGAACUGAUCCGCAAGGAAAUUGACAUCAUGAACCAGCUUCAUCACCCUAAACUGAUCAAUCUUCACGACGCCUUUGAGGAUGACGACGAGAUGGUUCUUAUUUACGAAUUCCUAUCUGGCGGUGAACUCUUUGAACGCAUUACUGCCGAAGGCUACACUAUGUCGGAGGCUGAAGUUAUUAAUUACAUGAGACAGAUUUGCGAAGGCAUCAAACAUAUGCACGAAAAGAAUAUUAUUCAUUUAGAUAUUAAGCCAGAGAACAUCAUGUGUCAAACACGUAAAGGCACAAAUAUUAAACUUAUCGAUUUUGGACUGGCUACGAAAUUAGAUCCCAACGAAGUGGUUAAGAUCUCAACUGGCACAGCUGAAUUUGCUGCUCCAGAAAUUGUUGAAAGGGAACCAGUUGGAUUCUAUACUGACAUGUGGGCGGUAGGUGUCCUGGCUUACGUUUUGCUUAGUGGCUUAUCACCAUUCGCUGGUGAAAACGACAUCGAAACGCUUAAGAACGUCAAGGCUUGCGAUUGGGACUUUGAUGAAGAAGCAUUUUCCAAUGUCUCGGAGGAAGGAAAAGAUUUCAUUCGUAGACUACUCCUUAAGAAUAAAGAGAAACGUAUGACAGCUCAAGAGUGUCUUUUACACGCCUGGCUUUCCGGUGACCAUAGCGACAGGACCAGUUCAAUUGACCAAUCGAAAUAUUUGAGUCUUAGAGACAGAAUCCGCGCCAAAUAUGAUGCAUGGGACUCAUUUGCCCUUCCAAUUGGACGCUUAUCAGAAUACUCUUCAUUGCGUAAACUGCUUAUUGAAAAAUACAAAAUCCACGACACAUAUUUCGAUCGCAGACAAGCUGCACCUCGAUUUGUUAUUAAACCUCAAAGUGCAUUCUGCUACGAAGGCCAAAGCGUCAAGUUCUACUGCAGAGUUAUUGGUGUUGCUGCACCUACAGUCAGUUGGUACCACAAUAAUGUCGAACUAAGACAGAGUGUCAAAUAUAUGAAACGAUAUGCUGGUGACGAUUAUUACUUUGUAAUUAACAGAGCUAAAUUAUCAGACCGGGGAGAAUAUAUUAUUAGGGCAGAAAAUCACUACGGAGCUAGAGAAGAAGUUGUGUUCCUUAACGUUCAACCACUGCCAACAGUUGUCCCAGAAUACAAACCUGAAGCCCCAGUAAUCCGAAGACGAGAACCUUUACCGUACACCUUCUGGCAAGAAGAACAAGAGUGCGCUCCCAGCUUCACGUUCUUACUCAGACCCCGUGUCAUGCAAGAGCGAGACACCUGCAAGCUUUUAUGUUGCCUGAGCGGUAAACCCUUCCCUACAGUCAAAUGGUACAAAGACAAACGCGAGCUCAGUAAAUACGAAUACUCCAUGUCAAGUUCCGAUGGUGUGGUUACAAUGGAGAUCCAAGGUUGCAGACCGUCAGACUCUGGAAAAUAUACUUGCGUGGCUACGAACAAGCACGGACAAGACGAGACUUCUUGCGUGGUUAUCGUCGAAGGAGCGACCAGUACUGAAGAACAAACGAAAAUGGCGGAAAGAAUAUUACAUUCUGGAGACAGGAAGUACAUCGAGAACCCGAUUAAACCUGCACCGAUUCCAGUGACGAUCAAAAAACAAGUGACGCAACCUAAUCCUAUUCAACCGAGAUCGGCAAACGCUAGCACGAAUAGUUUGGCACACUCGUCGUCCACGCUUAGCGUGGGUGAUGGUGAGAGACGUCCUAGGAAAUAUGGUAGGUUAGAUUCAACCGGUAGCCCCAAUAGAUCUCGAAGUGCUACCAAGGAGCUUGCCCUUCCUCCAGAUUCCACCAUGGGACCCCCUCAAUUCACGAAAGGAUUGAACGACUUGACUGUAAAUGACGGAGAUAGUCUCACCCUAACAGCUCAUGUACAGGGUGAUCCAGAACCGCAAGUCGUAUGGACAAAGAACGGAAAACAACUGAGCUCAUCUGAAGUAAUCGAUCUCAAAUAUAAAAAUGGCAUCGCCAAAUUACACAUAAACGAAGUUUACCCUGAAGAUGAGGGAGCAUAUGUGUGCAAGGCUACAAAUUCGAUGGGAACAGCUGAUACCACUUGUAACCUGAAAAUUAAAAUGAUGGGUUCAUUGGAAUGAUAAGAAACUUUAACCCUUUUAAAGUACCUUGGAUUUAUAAAAUGAGCGUCAAUUAUUAACCAACCAAACCAACGGCAAAAAGAAGACGGAAGACAAGCCUCCAACGAUAGUGAGCCAUCUCGAGUCGGCUUUCGUGAAAGACGGUGAACCGGUGACGGUGUCCUGCCGCAUCAUCGGAGCAGACA
rnacentral:misc_RNA from 1 species